rnacentral:rRNA from 1 species
UACGUAGGGUGCAAGCGUUAAUCGGAAUUACUGGGCGUAAAGCGUGCGCAGGCGGUCUGUUAAGACCGAUGUGAAAUCCCCGGGCUUAACCUGGGAACUGCAUUGGUGACUGGCAGGCUUUGAGUGUGGCAGAGGGAGGUAGAAUUCCACGUGUAGCAGUGAAAUGCGUAGAGAUGUGGAGGAAUACCGAUGGCGAAGGCAGCCUCCUGGGCCAACACUGACGCUCAUGCACGAAAACGUGGGGAGCAAACAGG